AACACGACUCUCGGCAAUGGAUAUCUCGGCUCUCGCAUCGAUGAAGAGCGCAGCGAAAUGCGAUACGUGGUGUGAAUUGCAGAAUCCCGCGAAC
rnacentral:rRNA from 1 species